rnacentral:tRNA from 1 species
CCCUGGGUGGCUCAGUCGGUUAAGCGUCUGACUUUGGCUCAGGUCACGAUCUCACAGUUCGUGGGUUCGAGCCCCACGUCGGGCC